UACGUAGGGGGCAAGCGUUGUCCGGAUUUAUUGGGCGUAAAGAGCGUGUAGGCGGCCUUACAGGUCAGCUGUGAAAACUCGAGGCUCAACCUCGAGACGUCGGUUGAAACCGUAUGGCUAGAGUCCGGAAGAGGAGAGUGGAAUUCCCGGUGUAGCGGUGAAAUGCGCAGAUAUCGGGAAGAACACCCGUGGCGAAGGCGGCUCUCUGGGACGGUACUGACGCUGAGACGCGAAAGCGUGGGGAGCGAACAGG
rnacentral:rRNA from 1 species